GAUGAACGCUGGCGGCGUGCCUAAUACAUGCAAGUCGAGCGAACAGACGAGGAGCUUGCUCCUCUGACGUUAGCGGCGGACGGGUGAGUAACACGUGGAUAACCUACCUAUAAGACUGGGAUAAUUUCGGGAAACCGGAGCUAAUACCGGAUAAUAUAUUGAACCGCAUGGUUCAAUAGUGAAAGACGGUUUUGCUGUCACUUAUAGAUGGAUCCGCGCCGCAUUAGCUAGUUGGUAAGGUAACGGCUUACCAAGGCAACGAUGCGUAGCCGACCUGAGAGAGUGAUCGGCCACACUAGAACUGAGCCACGGUCCAGACUCCUACGGGAGGCAGCAGUAGGGAAUCUUCCGCAAUGGGCGAAAGCCUGACGGAGCAACGCCGCGUGAGUGAUGGAAGUCUUCGGAUCGGAAAACUCUGUUAUUAGGGAAGAACAAAUGUGUAAGUAACUAUGCACGUCUUGACGGUACCUAAUCAGAAAGCCACGGCUAACUACGUG
rnacentral:rRNA from 1 species